GGAGAUAUUGCACAUUACUAAGUUGCAUGUUGUCACGGCCUCCGUGCAAUUUAGUGUGUGUGAUAUUUUC
rfam:Ailuropoda melanoleuca scaffold921_116, whole genome shotgun sequence.